UCUGGCUCAGAUUGAACGCUGGCGGCGUGCUUAACACAUGCAAGUCGAGCGAGAAAGUUCUCUUCGGAGAAUGAGUAGAGCGGCGCACGGGUGAGUAACGCGUGGAUAAUCUACCCUGAAGAUCGGGAUAACAGUUGGAAACGACUGCUAAUACCGGAUAUCCUGCAUAUUUAGCUUUAUGUGGUAAAGGCGGCCUCUAUUUAUAAGCUGCCGCUUUGGGAUGAGUCCGCGUCUCAUUAGCUUGUUGGUGGGGUAAUGGCCUACCAAGGCAACGAUGAGUAGCUGGUCUGAGAGGAUGAUCAGCCACACUGGGACUGAAACACGGCCCAGACUCCUACGGGAGGCAGCAGUGGGGAAUAUUGCGCAAUGGGGGAAACCCUGACGCAGCGACGCCGCGUGCGGGAAGAAGGCCUUCGGGUCGUAAACCGCUGUCAGGAGGGAAGAAACUGUUAGGGUAUAAUACGCCCUUUCACUGACGGUACCUCCAAAGGAAGCACCGGCUAACUCCGUGCCAGCAGCCGCGGUAAUACGGAGGGUGCGAGCGUUAAUCGGAAUCACUGGGCGUAAAGCGCACGUAGGCGGCGCAUCAAGUCAGGCGUGAAAGCCCUCGGCUCAACCGAGGAAUUGCGCUUGAAACUGGUGUGCUGGAGUCUCGGAGAGGUUGGCGGAAUUCCAGGUGUAGGAGUGAAAUCCGUAGAUAUCUGGAGGAACACCGGUGGCGAAGGCGGCCAACUGGACGAGUACUGACGCUGAGGUGCGAAAGCGUGGGGAGCAAACAGGAUUAGAUACCCUGGUAGUCCACGCUGUAAACGAUGGAUAUUAGGUGUCGGGGGUUACCUUCGGUGCCGCAGUUAACGCGUUAAAUUCCC
rnacentral:rRNA from 1 species